GAAGCCUUUGCCCUCGAGCGACGCCACACCAGACCCUUCGCCCUCGCAGCCGCCGCCGAUCCCCUCCCUCAAACGCCGCCGCCCUUCGCUGCCGCCCCCGCCACCUCCCGUCGCGGGCAGGCGGGAGGAGCCCUGCCCGGCCAUGGCGACACCCGCCGGCGGCCUCCUCCUCCCCCUCACCUUCUCUCCCUCUCCCAAGGGAGGGAAGGGAAUGGAAGGGAUCUGAUUGGAGCGGUCGAUCUGCGCCCUUGCCGUCUCUUCUUUCCUUCACCGAUUCCAGGAGGAGAUCGAAGUGGAAGGUAGACGAGCAGGAGCGCCGCGUCCGCGACAGCGAUGAGCAACGACCCAGGUUCUCCUCUCCCAUGGCAAGGGUCGGCGAGUGGCAACAGAUGCGGGACACCAACUGGUGGCGCAACGGACAGCGAGAGGCAGGACACCAACUGGGCGCGCCUCUCGCGGCCGACUUCCACGGCGGCGACGUCGUUUACCUUGGCGCCUGAUUCUUUCCGACUCAGCGAUCCCCGCGGGCACCGAUGGACGGCGACGGGCAGCACGUGCGGCCGCGGAGCCGCGUGCUCCUGACCGACGACGAGGAUGACGGGGCGUACGCCAGCGACGUGUACAGCGGCAACCUCACCGCCACGGGCGGGUCUCGCGCUGGCCGGAUCUUGGGGCGGUAGCAGUACUUGGUGCAGCGCCACCGUGGCGACUACGGCAGCGUCGGGGUCGUCGUCGUCCUCAUCCGCACAGGGUAGCUGGACUGGGAGGUUUGCUGCUUCCGGUCAGCAGACGAUGGCUAUGACGCUAUGCCCAGCACGAGUGCUAACGCCAUCACGGCCGGCACCACUGGCACCAGCAGCCGUUCGGUGUGCUCUCCGGGAUGCUGCAGUCGAAGGGUCGAGCAGGAGCUAUGGAUGCCAGCAAACAAGCCUGUGCAGACGGCAAUGCAUCAAUCAAAUUGGAUGGAGAACAUCACACAACAGGACAUAAAGAAAAUGGUGGCACUUUGGGUUUUCAAGACACCGCCUCGCGUAGGACUACGGACAUGGGAUGCUCGGUCGAGUUUUUCUUAACUCGUCAGGAUUCUCAUGCUGCAAAUUUAGUAACGGGGCAAAUUUUUGGGUGUCCUGAUGUGUUUGCGGAUUGAUGAAAAUUUGGCGAGGGAGAUCAUAAACCAUCGCUCGCUGCAGCACAUCAAUUGUUGAAUUCGUUUGAAGGAGCUGUCAAUUGUUGAAUUCGCUUGAAGGAGAUGGAGCUCGUUUGGCUGAAUUUGCUACUGACUUGCCACAUUUUGAGGGCCUGCAAUUGAAGAAUACAACACUUGAUAUAACAAUUGAAGAAUACUAGAGUAAUAAUAACUACUGCAAGAGUGAUGUACUUUCUUUUUGUUGGAGAUUUUCUGCAUCUUUUAUGGACGGUAACAUUUGAGAUAACAAUUUGAUGUGCUAACCAUCAAGAUCAACUUCGACAUGUUUGGUCUCUAAAAGUUACUAUUGACCAUCAUUGGUGCAUCCUAUAAGAAGGGGAAAAUAAAGCAUUAAUGUGGAGUAUGUUCCAAUGGAAAUCUUCAGGAACACCUUGAAGGUCUGAGUGCAAUUUUUCUUUAGUUCUCUGUGAGCUUAAAAAUGCAACUGAUGUGGCCCAUGCAACUGAAAUUAAAAACAUGGAGAAGAAUCAUAAAAUAUCUCGCUGAAAAUGCCCUCGUUCUGCACUUCGUGUGGACAGGCAGCACCCUUUACCUUCGAAGUCUCGAAAAAUGGUCUGGGUGAUGCGGGUGCCUCAAUGCUUGAUGCCAUGUUCUGUAAGAGGCCAAGGUUGUAUUUGGGUGUCCACGCGCUACAGGGAAUUACUGUGCGGAGUAGUAAGAAUUGAUUUAAACGUAGAGCCUAGACUCGCACUCCAUGAGCAUCCAUGGCCGGCGAGACGGGACCCUCGACCCUCGGCCUCUGUUGAGAAGGAUCGUUCCACUGUGUCCGAUUUGUAGUACAGAGUAAUCUCAUUCCUCUGAAGUUCCUAUUGGGCAAAAUGGGCAAGAUGUGUUUGGUCAGUGGUGCUUCGUUUUUUAGGCUAUGGCUAUGAUAACUUGAUGACACCCCUUUGUAGUACAGAUCAAUCUCAUGCAUUUGUCCUCCAUCUUCAGGAACAUUUAUUAGUGUACAAUGGCCAAGCAAUUGUUUAAAAAAAUAAGAAACCUGGAAUUGAAUUGCUAAAACAUGGAAUUAUUCUGCUUAUUUGUAGGUUAAUGUAUGACUAUCACGUUCCCCACAAAGUGAAAUGUGCUAUUUCACCACAAACAUUGACGAAGUUAAGUUCAGUGCAGGCAAAAUGGAUAAGUCUGUAACUGGAACUCUGGAUAGUUGAUCCUCUGAAUGGCGAAAAAUUUAUCAAGUUGCUGAGAUUCAGGGGUCUGAAAUUAAGUCAUUUGUGGAUAGUUUAUCUAAAUGCCCAAAACCCACUUAGAGCUCCAGAGAGGUCUUGUUUUCUUGUACUAUGGAUUUAAGGUGAUUCUUAAGAGGAACAAGUCGCCAUGGACAGAUGAGAUCGAGAGACGGCUCCGCGGUUGCGUGGAGUGGCGGCUGAGAGGAGAGGCAAUAACAACUCGUUGUCCGUGACGGCCCGAGCGUUUGCGAGAGGGGAUGGAGCGGGGGUUGCAUCGUCACGGCCAGUUGCCAGAGUGGGUGGAGUGGUGGCCGCACGGACGCGCUCCUAGAGGUGCCGGUAUGCACCCUGAUUUUGAGCCUGGGAGGUUCCUUGCUCUGCCCUAUCCUCAAGGGUGUUCAUCUACUUUGGUAUCGUGCUCUGGAGUCAGGACGAUGCACUAAUGCAGGUUUGAUUCUUUACUUUUUCUUUUGUUUUAUUUGUAUACAUAUCCCUGAAUUUUGUGAGUCGUGAUUUAAAUGUUGUCGUGUGUGCCAUUGUCUCCUAUAUAAUUAUUCUAUUGAAGCACCGCUGCAACCCAGUUUGUUUAUCAAAUUGAUGCAAGAAACAAACUAAUACAUAGAGAGUAUAAAUUUAUUGCAUUAAUCUGUAUAUCCCUGCACCUACCGAUAGGUAGAGAUGGAUAAGUUUUGUAGCUUUUUGAUCCCGGUUUUUCCUAUUGAAAUUAUGGAUUUGGAAGCUAAUCAUGGAGUGUUUCGAUUGCCUGCUUACGGAAUCGCAAUAAGCACAAGUCUGCAACCUUGAAGGAAAACCCGUUGCAACUGAUGACAUAAUAUUACGUUGCAACAAGAAUGUAUAGAGCUGCAGAGCUCUGUGGAUCCUUCUCUUCACAAAAGAUUCUCUUGUGAAAUUGCGAUUCAGGCGAGAAGCGGAGGCGUGUGCCUAGAGUAGCGGACCAUGAUGGAUUGAUGAGCUGAUGUCACGUGACGUACUCACGUGGCGGUUGUUUAGGCUCCGGCGGCUGGAGCCAUCAUCGACCAUGAUGCCGCGCCAGGAGCACAAGGGCUAAGACGAGGACAUGUUGGUGCCGAUGAAAUAAGGUUUAUUGGGUCGUCCUCUUCCAGCAACAUAUUACACAAUCUAUUUAAGCCGAUUGAUUCUCUUUGGUACAAAUGUCCCUCAUUUAGUUGAUGAAACUCUACCUUCAUAAAAUUAAUUGAGUUGGGAACCAUAACAUAUAUACAUCUAUGACUGGUAUCUAUUUGGCUAUAUUAAACUGACAAUUUAUUCUUCUUACCGGAAGGAUAUGUCGUGAAGAUGAUUAAUUCUACAAACUAUACUGCUAAUUCAUCGGAAAUGACUACCAACUUGUUUAAUUCCGCAUGUGCAGGUGCUGCCGGUUGAUGGGGGCCUAACCAUGAGUCUAACUGAAAGUGAACGGGAGCGAUGUGCAGAAAAAAAUCUUAGCAUAUAGGCUGAAUUUGUAUAGUACUUCGAAUUUAUUAGGCAGUACCCCCUCCAUUUGUAUAUCACUUCCGAAUACAAGUUCAGGUUAUUAGGCAGUACUAUUGAAUUUAAGGAUUGAUACUUGAAGAUUUUAAAAGGUUACUAAAUUUUGUACCAAGUCUACUGUUAUGUAUGGGAAGAACAUGCGCUAAAAUAUUGAUAAUGCAAAUGAAAGUGAUCGUUUGAUUAUUAAA